rnacentral:rRNA from 1 species
GAUGAACGCUGGCGGCGUGCCUAAUACAUGCAAGUCGAGCGAACAGACGAGGAGCUUGCUCCUCUGACGUUAGCGGCGGACGGGUGAGUAACACGUGGAUAACCUACCUAUAAGACUGGGAUAACUUCGGGAAACCGGAGCUAAUACCGGAUAAUAUAUUGAACCGCAUGGUUCAAUAGUGAAAGACGGUUUUGCUGUCACUUAUAGAUGGAUCCGCGCCGCAUUAGCUAGUUGGUAAGGUAACGGCUUACCAAGGCAACGAUGCGUAGCCGACCUGAGAGGGGGGUCGGCCACACUGGAACUGAGACACGGUCCAGACUCCUACGGGAGGCAGCAGUAGGGAAUCUUCCGCAAAGGGCGAAAGCCUGACGGAGCAACGCCGCGUGAGUGAUGAAGGUCUUCGGAUCGUAAAACUCUGUUAUUAGGGAAGAACAAAUGUGUAAGUAACUAUGCACGUCUUGACGGUACCUAAUCAGAAAGCCACGGCUAACUACGUG